UCUGCCUUGGCCAUUCAGGGGAGAACUCAGGGAUCCCUCAAAGAGUAUGCAAUUUAUUCCUGCCUUGCUUUCUGCUACCUGUAGCCAAUUGGCUCUCCAAUAGUCGUUAACUGCCAGCUGUUUGGGGUCAAUUAGCAGAAACCAAAAAAAGUGGAAAUAACCAGUUUAUGUCUUCACUAGUUAAAUGUCUAGGAAAGUCUCAGUUUACCUUUUGUGAAAAGCAAACUAUGGAAUAACAAUUUCCAUAACUCGAAAGCAUCCAAACUCCAAGUCCACUCUGUGUUAAGUGACCAGAAGUAGUCCAACAUGACUGUCCAACCCAUGGAAAGUAGGAACCUCUGACCUUCUACUGAGUGGCCUCAUGCCACCAUGAAGUUAAGGCCAAGGCCUGGGAAAAUUCACAACGAACUUGAUGGAGCAGGAUUUCUUUCAGAAGUGAUUAUGUCCAUGUGAAAAAACCAGCUUUCCACAAGAUCCUGUGCCACAAGCUGUCCUUCAUGUAGAUGACUACAAAGGGGAUCCUGUCUCAAACAGCUUUGACGAAUCAAGCUUUCAGACUGGAGAGUAAGUUUGUGAGAGAACAACAGAUGUCUCCUGCUAUCUAGAAGGUUUUCAACAUUGGUGGAGACAGAAGAUGACUGAUUUCUUCCUCCUGGACUUCUUGAUCUGGACUGAUAAAUUUAUUAAAAAGUUGUUUAGUUCA